UACGGGGGGAGCAAGCGUUGUUCCGGAUUUACUGGGCGUAAAGGGCGCGUAGGCGGCCACCGCAAGUCGACUGUGAAAUCUCCGGGCUUAACCCGGAAAGGUCAGCCGAUACUGCGGGGCUAGAGUGCAGAAGGGGCAACUGGAAUUCUCGGUGUAGCGGUGAAAUGCGUAGAUAUCGAGAGGAACACCUGCGGCGAAGGCGGGUUGCUGGGCUGAUACUGACGCUGAGGCGCGAAAGCCAGGGGAGCGAACGGGAUUAGA
rnacentral:rRNA from 1 species